rnacentral:rRNA from 1 species
AAAUAUUUUGGCGGUAUUUUAGUUUAUUUAGAGGAAUCUGUUUAUUAAUUGAUAAUUCACGAAUAAAUUUACUUAAUUUAAUAUUUUGUAUAUCAUUGUUAAAUAAAUAUUUUUUAAUAAUUAUAAUAUUUUAAAAUUGUAAGUAAAAAUUAAAUCAAAUCAAGAUGCAGAUUAUAAUUAAGAAUAUGAUGGAUUACAAUAAUUUUAUUUAAAUGAAUUUUAAUUUGUAAUAAUUAAAUGAAGGUGGAUUUAAAUGUAAUUUUAUUUAUUUUAAUAAUUUGAUUAAGAAUUAAAAUAUGU